rnacentral:rRNA from 1 species
AUUGAACGCUGGCGGAAUGCUUUACACAUGCAAGUCGAACGGCAGCACGGACUUCGGUCCGGUGGCGAGUGGCGAACGGGUGAGUAAUACAUCGGAACGUACCCUGUUGUGGGGGAUAACUAGUCGAAAGAUUAGCUAAUACCGCAUACGACCUGAGGGUGAAAGUGGGGGACCGCAAGGCCUCACGCAGGAGGAGCGGCCGAUGUCUGAUUAGCUAGUUGGUGGGGUUAAGGCCCACCAAGGCGACGAUCAGUAGGUGGUCUGAGAGGACGAUCAGCCACACUGGGACUGAGACACGGCCCAGACUCCUACGGGAGGCAGCAGUGGGGAAUUUUGGACAAUGGGGGCAACCCUGAUCCAGCAAUGCCGCGUGUGUGAAGAAGGCCUUCGGGUUGUAAAGCACUUUUGUCCGGAAAGAAAUCGCGCUGGUUAAUACCUGGGGUGGAUGACGGUACCGGAAGAAUAAGCACCGGCUAACUACGUGCCAGCCGCCGCAGUAA